rnacentral:lncRNA from 1 species
GCAAAUACCAUCUGCUCUGAGAGUCAAACUGCAGGCCUGGAGCAGCAGCUUCUGCUGUUCUGUAUGCAGACAUCCAGGCACCACACCAAACAUCCAGGUACCACCCCAGACAUCCAGGUACAACCCCAGACAUCCAGGUACCACUCCGGACAUCCAGGUACCACCCCAGACAUCCAGUACCACCCCAGAUAUCCAGGUACAACCCCAGACACCCAGGUACCACUCCGGACAUCCAGGUACCACCCCGGACAUCCAAUACCACCCCAGAUAUCCAGGCACCACACCAAACAUCCAGGUACCACCCCAGACAUCCAGGUACAACCCCAGACAUCCAGGUACCACUCCGGACAUCCAAGUACCACCUCGGACAUCCGGUACCACCCCAGACAUCCAGGCACCACACCAAACAUCCAGGUACCACCCCAGACAUCCAGGCACCACACCAAACAUCCAGGUACCACCCCAGACAUCCAGGUACAACCCCGGACAUCCAGGUACCACCCCAGACACCCAGGUACCACACCAAACAUCCAGGUACCACCCCAGACAUCCAGGUACAACCCCAGACAUCCAGACACAACUCCAGACAUCCAGGUACAACCCCAGACAUCCAGGUACCACCCCAGACAUCCAGGUACCACCCCAGACAUCCAGGCACCACUUCAGACAUCCAGAUAUCUCUCUAGACAUCCAGGUACUGCUCUAGACAGACAUCCAGGUACCACACCAGA